rnacentral:lncRNA from 1 species
GAACGCCAGUCUCUCGGAAUCAGGUUGCUCAGAUUGGUUGUUUUUCCGCCAACACAAAACGGUGCCUCCAUCUUUACCCACAGAAAUAGUUCCAAAGGAAAAGGAGCAGAAUUUCGCCAGUGCUUGCGGUCCACCCAAGUAACGCCACAUUCUGAUAUUCCGAAUAUUUCAAGUAGAGAGUUUGCCCGCACUGCCCCGGAGCUGGACGUGGGAUUGUGGGACGCAGACCACUGGGAAAGGGCAGAGGACGCGCAGGUGAGGACGCGUGCCCGGCUUGUUUACGUCACCAAGGAACAACCCCACGCCGUGGUUCGGCAGGAGGAUAUUACCAGCCCCUCGGUACAGUCACCCAGGGUCCCUGACCUGAGCGGCUUCCUGCUAAUCUUCUUCCCUGCCUGGCACGACGGCAGCGUUUGGUCGCUUGUCUCCUCCUGGGGCACACGCCUCUCGAUCGCCUUCUCACAGGACACCCGGAGGCCCCCAACCCGGGGCUUCCAUCCCAGGUCUUCCUGCCCUGGCCUCGCUUCCAGCUGCCUCACAACGAUUCCUCGGAAACUCCCUGAGCGAACAUCAAUUCACCGUGCAACUGCUCCCGCUCAGGCGUCUCGGUUCUGCUGGAAACAUGUGCUUUAUUACUCCUCGGCCUGCCCGUCCCACACCGCGGGUUCGCGCUGGCAGCCCUGUUGAGCCCAGUGGCAUGAUUCACUCCCGUUUGUUUAAUUAGUUAAAUCAAAUUAAAAUGUGUUCGAGGCUGGGCUAGAGUGUGUUCAGUUGUGUGUAUUUCAAUUUACACCCAUGCACCCAGCGCUGAGACCCAGAGGCACAGUUUAAAAAUUAAAAGUUUUCCAAGCCAUGCUGACAACAGUCACC